rnacentral:rRNA from 1 species
UACGGAGGGUGCAAGCAUUAAUCGGAUUUAUUGGGCGUAAAGGGCGUGUAGGCGGAGAUGAAAGUCAGAUGUGAAAUCCCGGGGCUCAACCUCGGAACGGCAUUUGAAACUUCAUCCCUUGAGGAUAGGCGGGGAAAACAGAAUUCCACAUGUAGCGGUGAAAUGCGUAGAUAUGUGGAGGAAUACCGGUGGCGAAGGCGGUUUUCUAGCUUACACCUGACGCUGAGGCGCGAAAGCAAGGGGAGCAAACAGG